rnacentral:rRNA from 1 species
ACGGGGUGCAGCAGGCGCGAAACCUUCGCAAUGCGCGCAAGCGUGACGAGGGAACCCCAAGUGCGCAUGUACAGCAUGUGCUUUUACUAAGUGUAAAAAGCUUAGGGAAUAAGGGCUGGGUAAGACUGGUGCCAGCCUCCGCGGUAACACCAGCAGCUCAAGUGGUGAUCGCGUUUACUGGGUUUAAAGCGUACGUAGUCGGUUCAGUCAGUUUUCUGUGAAAUCCUACGGCUCAACCGUAGGGAUGGCAGGAAAUACUACUAGACUUGAGACCGGGGUAGGAGUGGGGUAUUCUGGGGGUAGCGGUGAAAUGCUAUAAUCCCCGGAAGACCACCGGCAGCGAAGGCGCCACUCUAGAACGGGUCUGACGAUGAGGUACGAGAGCUAGGGGAGCGAACAGGAUUAGAUACCCUGGUAGUCCUAGCUGUAAACGAUGCAGGUUUAGUGUUCCCUGAAUCUCGUGUUCGGGGAGUGCUGAAGGGAAACCGUAAACCUGCCACCUGGGAGUACGUCGCAAGGC